UACGGAGGGUGCAAGCGUUAUCCGGAUUCACUGGGUUUAAAGGGUGCGUAGGCGGCGCGGCAAGUUGGGUGUGAAAUCCCUCGGCUCAACCGAGGAACUGCGCUCAAUACUACCGUGCUCGAGGGAGAUAGAGGUGAGCGGAACUUAGGGUGGAGCGGUGAAAUGCGUUGAUAUCCUAAGGAACACCGGUGGCGAAAGCGGCUCACUGGAUCUCUUCUGACGCUGAGGCACGAAAGCUAGGGUAGCGAACGGG
rnacentral:rRNA from 1 species